rfam:Schistosoma mansoni strain Puerto Rico chromosome 2, complete genome
AUCCAGCUGAAGAGUCCUAAAUAGGACGAAACGCGUGUCCCGGAU